GACGUAGGAGGCGAGCGUUGUCCGGAUUCAUUGGGCGUAAAGAGCGCGCAGGCGGCUUGUUAAGUCGGAUGUGAAAUCCCGAGGCUCAACCUCGGGUCUGCAUCCGAUACUGCCCGGCUAGAGGUAGGUAGGGGAGAUCGGAAUUCCUGGUGUAGCGGUGAAAUGCGCAGAUAUCAGGAGGAACACCGGUGGCGAAGGCGGAUCUCUGGGCCUUACCUGACGCUCAGGCGCGAAAGCUAGGGGAGCGAACUGG
rnacentral:rRNA from 1 species